rnacentral:rRNA from 1 species
UACGUAGGGUACGAGCGUUAAUCGGAAUUACUGGGCGUAAAGCGUGCGCAGGCGGUUUGGCAAGACAGAUGUGAAAUUCCCGGGCUUAACCUGGGAACUGCAUUUGUGACUGCCAGGCUAGAGUGCGGCAGAGGGGAGUGGAAUUCCGCGUGUAGCAGUGAAAUGCGUAGAUAUGCGGAGGAACACCGAUGGCGAAGGCAACUCCCUGGGCCUGCACUGACGCUCAUGCACGAAAGCGUGGGGAGCAAACGGG